AUAGGACUUCAUCGCCAUAACCCAAGUCCUAGAAAUCUCGAACUGCGAGAUUGCGACGGCGAGAGAGAGGCUAGCUGGCGCGGAGGAUCACGUCUGGUUUGCCUGAUGCAGGAGGUUUCGUCAGAUUCUGGUGUCGGUGCGGCAGAUGCUGGUAUCAGCAGCUGUGGUGGGGGCGUUUAGGGUGGAUGGGAAGGGGGUGGUGCCGGCGGAGGAGGUGAGGUCAG
rnacentral:misc_RNA from 1 species